GGUGCUCAGACGGCGGAUCAAGCGGACAUUACAAACGAGACGAGAGGACCAAACUUUUACAGCGAUUUGAGACUUGUCACACUUUUUUGCCUAUCGUUACGUUUUCCCCGGCAUUAAAAGCCAAUACCCUAGUAAUUACGUUGAGCACCAGCUUCGCCAACAGUGGAUUUUAUCAGGGAGUCUGCCGUAGCACUUCAAAGGAACACCGAAAACUUCAGCUGAGGAGUGCUCAGUGGCAAUUUUCAAAAGCCUCCACAGAGGAGAAAACUGCCCCAACCCCCGCUGCUGAGGAAGGCGUACCUGAUAUCCGAGGCGGAAAACAUCGAGGACUACCGCACUCAGAUCAUGUCGGUGUUUGGGAGAGUCCUCAAAUACGACUCCACCUACAAGAUCUGCAGGAAGCUGUCUGGGGAAGGCAAGGGCACGGCGGCGUGGUGCA